AUAUUCCCAUUUGAUUUUUCAAAAUAUGGUACACCUCUUUUUCAGUGUAAGAAGAGUGGGAAGUUCAAAGGCUUUGACAGGGGAAGCAAGGAAGAAAACAUGGCUCACCACAAUCAGGAAACAGCACCUUCCUAUGAAAUUAAACAAAUGACUAUUCCAACAGCUCUCUGGAGCAGUGGAAACGACUUGCUUUCAACCCCAAAGGAUGUUGCCUGGUUGCUGCCUCAGGUCCCAAACUUAUUUUACCACAAGUUUAUUCCUGACUGGGAACACAUGGAUUUCUUCUUGGGCCUUGAUGCCCCACAGCGCUUGUAUGAAGAGAUAAUUGAGUUUAUGCAGAAUUAUGAGUGAGUUUGGGAUCCUGAAAUAGUCCUCCAAGAAACCAGCACUAUGAGUCUGUGAUGAUGAGUGAAACUGCUACUACUUUGAAACAUUCACCAUGGAAAGAAAUCCCUAUGUUUAUAAAUGCAAACACUAUUACUAAGCUGUCUAUGCAAAGUACGGAAAUCCCUCAGGAAAUAACAUUUAUGCACCACAUGCAUAAACCCAUGCAUCUUUAGUGGAGGUAUUUCCUGUUUUCCCUCUUUCACUACAACUUAUUCACAAAGCUUCCCAAGCUACAAAAAAGUGGAUAAAAUAAAAAAGGAAGCCUUUAGACCCAAUUUUGCCCCUUCUAAACUCAAACAGAGGUUUUACAAGUCACAAAAAACCAUGUCUCUCAGCUGUGUGACUCUUUCUUCAGCUGCUUCAAAGGCCCCUGAAAUUAUCCAUUUAUUUAUGUUAAUUCUGGGGUCUUUCAAACUAAAUCUCCUUUUCCCUUUUCUUCAGUUUCUUCCAAAAGCCCACCUCUUAAUCCAUAUAUAAAUAAAAGUAAAUUACACCUGCUCCAGUUUAUAUCUAGUCCCUGUCAGAUCCAAAUAAAUAAUAAAAAAGAGAAAUUAACCAUCUAUCUUGAUGGCAAAAAAGCAGAAAACAGACAAAAUUCAAUUCAAUCCCACAGUGUCAGUGUCUUUUAAAUUGUAAAAAAGGAGAAAAGGAAAUAAAAAAUAGUCCUUAGAAUAUAUAUUAAAAACACACACAAUGUCAACAUCCCGCUUUCUUCUCUUUCCCUCCACAAUAUUUAGAAUUCUUUCCAGUUUGGCUCUCUUGUUAGAAAAUAUUUAUAAAGUCUAAAAAUUCUGCAUCCAGUGCUUUAGGCAAAUCACAGAUUAAACUCAGCUCAUCGCCUGGAAUGCUUGUUAAAAAUAACCAUUAGCCAGUAUUUUUCUCAUACUUAAUUUAGUCCCUGCAGAUUUUUUCCAUGCAGAUAAAUACCCACGGCUGGAGGGGGGG